GGCAUGGAAAUCCACAGGAGGUCUGAGCUUGGAUCUCUGGGAUCCAGUCCUCUGGGUGGGCUGCUUACCUCGGGGGUGACCCACUGUCCUGGUUUGCCUGGGACUAAAGGGGUUCCUGAGACAUGGGACUUCCAGUUUUAGAACUGGGACAGUGCCAAGAAACUGGGGAUGUGUUGAUCGCUCUGUUUACCUCUCUGAACCUCAAUUUGCUCAUAUCUAAAACCAGGAUAGUUACUAUCUGUCGGAGGACGAAAUGGGAUAAUGCAGGGAAGCAUCUAGCACAUGGCUCUUCAACCUGUAAAAUGGGAGGGUAGUGCCUACUUCACCAUAGCCGUGGGGAGAAGCCCGUGAAAACUUCCUGAGGGUCACCAGCCACAUUUGAAGCGAGCAGCUACCGGAUUGGAUAGUGCAGCCCUGCCUCCAACACGUUCACCUGACCCACGGGCAACCGAGGUCCAAGGAGGGCGUGGUCUGCCCAAGGUCACUGAGCUGAGUGGGACCAGGACCCAGGUCCCCUGACUCCAUCACAGCUGUUCCGCUCCACUUCACUGCCUGCCCUAUUUUCAUCAGGACAGCAAGCAGCGACCCAAGAAGCAGCAGUUUCAGCAGUGGAGUCAGAAGGCACAGCCUAACAACAUAUUCCUGCUCAGACAGUAAACUUCUUAGCGUUUCUUUAUUUUAUGUGAAUCUUGCCUGUGACCAUUCUCCACCACUGGAUGAUAUACAUAUGUGUGGAAAGAGUGCAUAAACGACUUUAGCAAGCAUCUAUUGAGCACCUACUGUGUUUCCAGCCCUGCACCUGGCCUUAAAGAUACGGAGAUGAAGACAGCCCAGCUCUGGUCCUCGGGCAGCUCACCUCUGGUCCAGGGAGGGCAGAGUGGUCAGCCCCUCACUUAGGGUGUGCAGAGGGUGGCGUGGGGUCUGAUACAGAGCCGUGCAGAAGUGCUGUGGGAGUGAGCAGAUUGCAUGCCUAGUGUAUGAAAACCCCAGCAAGCAGCCUCCUGGGCUGGCGGAACCAGCUGGAAGGGACCUUGGGAAAAUCCGUGGGGAGCCCACAUGUGGAGCUGCUGGGCCUCGGCCUGUGGGUGUGUGGUGUUUGGGUAACAGCCCAAAGGCUAGGAGGGUUUGUUUUUGUUGUUGAUUGGAACUGAGAGGGGCUAUUGUCAGGCAAAGCCUCAGCUUAUUGGUGUGUGGUGUUGGCUCAGGACUGUGGGGUGGGUACUUGCUGGGGUGCAGUUGCUGUCAGUAACAUCCCUUCAUGGAGCACCCAUUGCAGCAUCCCUCUCCCCCUCCUUCACACAUGUACACACUUGCACGCUCCCACACACACGUGUGCAUCGCCAGUUAUAAAAUUUAAUUUGCAGAGCCCAGGACAAAAUGAAAAUGCAAAGUCCCUUGAUCAAAAGUUAAGAAUUUUAAGGCCGCGACAGUAGAUUGUUUAGACAAGCACAGGGGCCUUCUAAUGGGCCCCGGGUGGCUGCACAGGACACACGUCGGAGAAGCUGGCCCUGCACACACACAGACACACAAGGUCCCCCACUGUUUGCACUGGCCUGUAUCUUCCCUUCUCUCCACCCACUGUGAGGGAGGCCAAAGGCAUGCCAGCUAGUGCUUUAGAGGUUUAUUAUCUCAUGUCAUCUGUCAACAUCCGAUGUCAAUAAUGGCUAUCAUGCCCACUCUCCAUAUGAGGAAGUGAAGAUGAGAAGGAAGAUCUGGGAUUCGAACCCAAAACUUACCUGAGUCCAAAGCCCAGGCUUGUUCCAUGCACACCCUGCCCCCACACCACACAAAGAGGAAUGAGCCACCUCCUUUUUUGUGUUAUUUCUGAUGUUUUUCUUUCUGUUUCUUCCUUCCUUCC
rnacentral:lncRNA from 1 species